GAAGAGAAACCAAAACCAAACCUGAGUGUCAUUUCUCUGUAGUUGUGAGCUUACCGCUGUGCUGCACAACAAACCAAGUUAGAGAUCAGUGGAGGAGGACGACAGCUCUGCUGGAUGGACACUACGAGGAACACAACCAGAGAAACCAGAGCUAAGUCUGGAGUUAAAUGGGGAAGAUCAGCUGGUUCCUCCUGUAACAUCAGUUCCAUCCUCACACUGGGACAGCGGAGUUUACUGGUGUGAGUCCAGAGAGGGAGCAACCAGUAACAGCAUCAGCGUCACUGUCACUGGUGGAUCAGUGAUCCUGCAGAGUCCUGUCCUCCCUGUGAUGGAGGGAGAUGAUGUCACUCUGCACUGUAAAACAAAGACCUCCAACCUCCCAGCUGAUUUCUAUAAAGAUGGCUCCCUCAUCAGGACUGAGCCUGCAGGUCACAUGACCAUCCACCAUGUUUCCAAGUCUGAUGAAGGCCUCUACAAGUGUCACAGCAGCAGUCAUGGAGAGUCU